rnacentral:rRNA from 1 species
UUCGGGUUGUAAACCUCUUUCAGCAGGGAAGAAGCGAAAGUGACGGUACCUGCAGAAGAAGCGCCGGCUAACUACGUGCCAGCAGCCGCGGUAAUACGUAGGGCGCAAGCGUUGUCCGGAAUUAUUGGGCGUAAAGAGCUCGUAGGCGGCUUGUCACGUCGGGUGUGAAAGCCCGGGGCUUAACCCCGGGUCUGCAUUCGAUACGGGCUAGCUAGAGUGUGGUAGGGGAGAUCGGAAUUCCUGGUGUAGCGGUGAAAUGCGCAGAUAUCAGGAGGAACACCGGUGGCGAAGGCGGAUCUCUGGGCCAUUACUGACGCUGAGGAGCGAAAGCGUGGGGAGCGAACAGGAUUAGAUACCCUGGUAGUCCACGCCGUAAACGGUGGGAACUAGGUGUUGGCGACAUUCCACGUCGUCGGUGCCGCAGCUAACGCAUUAAGUUCCCCGCCUGGGGAGUACGGCCGCAAGGCUAAAACUCAAAGGAAUUGACGGGGGCCCGCACAAGCAGCGGAGCAUGUGGCUUAAUUCGACGCAACGCGAAGAACCUUACCAAGGCUUGACAUACACCGGAA